CAUAUGGAUUCCUACGGGAGGCAGCAGUGGGGAAUUUUGGACAAUGGGCGCAAGCCUGAUCCAGCCAUGCCGCGUGAGUGAAGAAGGCCUUCGGGUUGUAAAGCUCUUUCGGCGGGGACGAAACGGUCCGUGCUAACACCAUGGAUCAAUGACGGUACUCGCAGAAGAAGCACCGGCUAACUACGUGCCAGCAGCCGCGGUAAUACGUAGGGUGCGGGCGUUAAUCGGAAUUACUGGGCGUAAAGCGUGCGCAGGCGGCUCUUUAAGUCAGAUGUGAAAUCCCCGGGCUUAACCUGGGAACUGCGUUUGAAACUGGAGAGCUCGAGUGUGGAAGAGGGGGGUGGAAUUCCAGGUGUAGCAGUGAAAUGCGUAGAGAUCUGGAGGAACACCGAUGGCGAAGGCAGCCCCCUGGGCUAACACUGACGCUCAUGCACGAAAGCGUGGGGAGCAAACAGGAUUAGAUACCCUGGUAGUCCACGCCCUAAACGAUGUCAACUGGUUGUCGGGGAAGUUAUUCCUUGGUAACGAAGCUAACGCGUGAAGUUGACCGCCUGGGGAGUACGGCCGCAAGGUUAAAACUCAAAGGAAUUGACGGGGACCCGCACAAGCGGUGGAUUAUGUGGAUUAAUUCGAUGCAACGCGAAAAACCUUACCUACCCUUGACUUGUACGGAACCCCGCAGAGAUGCGGGGGUGCCCGAAAGGGAGCCGUAACACAGGUGCUGCAUGGCUGUCGUCAGCUCGUGUCGUGAGAUGUUGGGUUAAGUCCCGCAACGAGCGCAACCCUUGUCCUCUGUUGCCAUCAGGUCAAGCUGGGCACUCUGAGGAGACUGCCGGUGAUAAACCGGAGGAAGGUGGGGAUGACGUCAAGUCAGCAUGGCCUUUAUGUCUGGGGCUACACACGUGCUACAAUGGCCGAUACAAACCGUCGCGAUACCGCAAGGUGGAGCUAAUCGGAGAAAGUCGGUCUCAGUUCGGAUUGCAGGCUGCAACUCGCCUGCAUGAAGUUGGAAUCGCUAGUAAUCGCGGAUCAGCACGCCGCGGUGAAUACGUUCCCGGGCCUUGUACACACCGCCAUCGGA
rnacentral:rRNA from 1 species